rnacentral:rRNA from 1 species
CUACGGGGUGCUCCAGUGAGGAAUAUUGGUCAAUGGGCGCGAGCCUGAACCAGCCAUCCCGCGUGCAGGAUGACGGCCCUAUGGGUUGUAAACUGCUUUUCUAUGCCAAGAAACCUGAUUACGUGUAAUCAGUUGCCGGUAGCAUAGGAAUAAGCAUCGGCUAACUCCGUGCCAGCAGCCGCGGUAAUACGGAGGAUGCAAGCGUUAUCCGGAUUCAUUGGGUUUAAAGGGUGCGCAGGUGGGCUUGUAAGUCAGUGGUGAAAUGCUGCCGCUUAACGGUAGAACUGCCAUUGAUACUGCGAGUCUUGAGUAUGGUUGAGGUAGGCGGAAUGUGUUGUGUAGCGGUGAAAUGCAUAGAUAUGACACAGAACGCCAAUUGCGAAGGCAGCUUACUAAGCCAUUACUGACGCUGAGGCACGAAAGCGUGGGGAGCGAACAGGAUUAGAUACCCCAGUAGUC